CAUCUACUCCCUCCGUUCGGAAUUACUUGUCGCAGAAAUGGAUGUAUCUAGACGUAUUUUACUUCUAGAUACAUCCAUUCUCGCGACAAGUAAUUCCGAACAGAGAGAGUAGGUC
rfam:Triticum aestivum genome assembly, contig: Triticum_aestivum_CS42_TGACv1_scaffold_032227_1BL